rnacentral:rRNA from 1 species
AGGGUUUGAUCAUGGCUCAGGACGAACGCUGGCGGCGUGCCUAAUACAUGCAAGUCGGGCGGAGCCCGAGGGGAGCUUGCUCCUUUUCGGGCUCAGCGGCGGACGGGUGAGUAACACGUGGGUAACCUGCCCGUAAGACCGGGAUAACUCCGGGAAACCGGGGCUAAUACCGGAUAACACCGGGGGCCGCAUGGCUUCCGGUUGAAAGGCGGCCUUUGGCUGCCACUUACGGAUGGGCCCGCGGCGCAUUAGCUAGUUGGCGGGGUAACGGCCCACCAAGGCGACGAUGCGUAGCCGGCCUGAGAGGGUGGACGGCCACACUGGGACUGAGACACGGCCCAGACUCCUACGGGAGGCAGCAGUAGGGAAUCUUCCGCAAUGGGCGAAAGCCUGACGGAGCGACGCCGCGUGAGCGAGGAAGGCCUUCGGGUCGUAAAGCUCUGUUGUCAGGGAAGAAGGCGCGCCGUUCGAAUAGGGCGGCGCGGUGACGGUACCUGACGAGGAAGCCCCGGCUAACUACGUGCCAGCAGCCGCGGUAAUACG